UUUGAGUCUGGAUCCUACCCUAGACCCGAUCAUAAAUAUGUUGUGUUUAUUUGGUAUAUUUGGAUAUUUUGAAUAUGUUUCCGGUAUUAUGAAUAUUUUUUUUAGGUUAUUGGUUUACGAUUAUAGUUUUUGAUUUCAGGUAAAAUUUUCAAAUUAAAUUUUUUUUUGAAUAUUUGGAUAAAAUUUUGGGUAUUUUCAAUUCAGUGUCAGAUUCUGAAUAAGAUUUUGAAUUUUUAGGUAUUUGAAUUUUUUGGGUAUUUGUUUGGAGUUUCAAGUACUUUCCGUGUUUCGGAUAUUUUUCAGAUUUUUUAGAUAUUUCGAAUCUUUUUAGGAUCCUAAAUACCCGAACAGAUGUGGAUCCAUUACGUCCAUAUCGGGUCCAACAACCUUUUGAUAUAGAUUUUUAACGUUAUUGUACAAAAACAUGGUUAGUGAAAUAUUUUUUAGAAAACUCAUUUUUAAAUAUGAAAAUAUCUAUCAAACUAUAGACGGUUGAAAAUUUAGUAUAUAAUAUGAGAUUUUAAUGGGAAAAAUUAUACAUGAUAUGAUUACAUUAUUAUAAAGGAAAUAUGAAGUUAAAAUGUACACAUAUAUAUCGUGCAACUUCUCUUACUUUAAAUUAUAUAUUAUAUGAUAAAAUGAUAAUAUAAAACAUUAGUUUCAAUGCUUUUAUGAUUAAAAGUCAAAAUGGUAAACAUAAUAAUAGUAAAUUAGUAAUGAUUGAGAUUUAGGAGUGGUAUUUUAAUAAAUAAAGGAAUUGAAUAAAAUAUUGUUAGAGAAAUAUAUGGUAACAUAUUGUUAGUCUAAGUUUAAGGUAAGACCAAAAAAUAAUGAGUUAAAUAAAAGGGUUCAAACAACUUUGUUAGGUAGAUUUUUUAAGAAUUCUUCCCUUUUAAUAGUAUUGAUUUGUGGGGAUUGUCAAAUUUUUAUGGCCUUUUUGCAGCCUGCUGAAGUGAUUGAUGAAGUGAACACAUGGGCUGAAUUCCCACCAAUGGACUCAUCAAGCAGAUUCUUUCACGCGAUUCCAUCGAAAAAUCUAACUAUAUUAAAAGGAAGAUAUACUCAAUCCUAAAGCUAUCCACGUAUGAUUAAAAAAUUAGCCAAUCAGAACUCUCUUUUUUAACACGUCAUAACUGUUUCUGUCCAAAGAAGAGAGAAACUGGGUUUUCGUCUGGGCUGUCCAGAGAUAAAAAGUCAGUUCAAGCCCAUUAAUGCUUAACCUAACAAUCGUGGAAGCGUUGAGCUCAUCUUCCCUAUCCCGACUCUUAAGCUUCAUCUUCACAGGUUGCGAUAGUAACUCUGCUACUGCUUCCUCCUCUUCAUCAAUCAAUGAUACUAUUAAAUCUCAUAUUUAUUGUUUCGUUAUACCUUCCUCUCCUUCUCCUCAUAUAUAAAAUCUAUCAUAUCUUCGUAGAGAAUUACUUCGAACCAAAUUCAGAAACCUCCUUUCAAGAAUCUCAAGCUAUGGUGAUUGUUAGCUCUUUACCUUUGUGAGUUUACAACUGCUGCAGUAUUUUUUGAGAUCUGAACGGAAGAUUUUCGUGCCACUUUGAAGGAGCACCCCCAAGAACGAAUAUGUUUUUUUUGUACUAGCGCAAGGUCGUACUCUCGGAUCUCUGGCCUAUCUGUCUAACGCAAAGCUUGGAUCUGUAUUGCAGAGUCUAUGCGGCGAAUUCCGAUGGACAGAUCGAUUCGACAAGAACGUACGCGGAGCUUUGGAUGGGGACUCACGAGCCAGGUCCGAGUUACUUGGAGGAUGAUGCUGAUGGCGUCACGCUUAGAUCGUGGAUUGCUGAAAACCCUGAGGCUCUUGGAGAUAGGGUUUUGGAGAAAUGGGGUUGCGAUCUCCCGUUUCUCUUCAAGGUACAUUGUUAAAGAUCUCUGCUAUUUUUUUUAGGAUUUGGAGAGUUGAAUUUCUUACUGUUGUUAUGAGUCGCUUGAACGACAACUAUGCAGCAAUGAAGUCAUGGUUCGCCAUGAACUUGGACAACGUCAGGAGUCACUCUUGAGAUUCAGAUAUUUGAGGAUUUCAAAUGCUUUAAUGCUUCUUAUGUUCCUGUCUUCGAGGGGCUACAAGAAUCUCAUAGGCAUAUCUAUUAUUUCUCUUCACACAACGAUAAUGGACGAAGACAAAGCAAAUUCAAAAACCCCAAAUAUCCCAUGAAGUGUAAUAUUCUUCAGUCCCAGCUUAGAGAUCUUUGACAUAUUUUGAUAUUUGAGCUUCUAGGCAUUUCACAGAUGGCUAUGAGUGAUGUUCUUCGUGAGGUAUGAUCCAUUUUCUGUACUGCAUUUCUACUGGUUCAUUGUAGAGAAGUUAUUCUUUAACAAAGUUUCCACCUGUUUUGAUGAACCGAAAGUCGAAUUGAGAUGCAUUAACAAAGAAGCUAUGAAACAAAAAGAAAGGGGAGGUCUAAGCUCUCUCUAGAAAAAGCUAACGUUGCAUUUUUAAUUAAUCAGCUUUUAGUAGACAAAUGUCUUGAAACUAUUCAUUGUUUGUGUUACUCUUUGUUUCCUUUUUGUCUCAAAUGUCUCUUAUUCUAUAGCUGGUUUGUAUUGGUUUAUUUGGUUCCAUAUGAAUUUUCCUUAACAGUGUGAUGAUGAUCUGUUGGAGAAGACAAAGUAGAGAUCACUCAUAAAGAAGUCCAUGAUGCUGUGUUUGGAGGACCUGCCAGAAAUAGAGAGGAAGCCAGUAAAGAAGCUAAAGAAGACGUUGAAAAUGGUAACCAAGGCUUUGGGUGUGCUAGAGAGGACAAAUAGACACAAACUAGCUCAGUGAGUAAAUCAUGCUGACUAAUUACUUGUGAUACAGUUUGGAAUUAUAAUAUGCAGAACAUGAUCAUAUUAUUAUCGUGAGAAAUUACGUACUUCUGUUUUUUCUUAAUUCCACCAUGUUAGUUUAUUGCAGAGUUCUUUGUACUCUUUCCAUUACUUGGCAUGUCACUGGAAUUACAUCUUUGAAUUUGCAAUCUUUAUUUUAGGUA